rnacentral:rRNA from 1 species
UGCAAGUAGAACGCUGAAGACUUUAGCUUGCUAAAGUUUGAAGAGUUGCGAACGGGUGAGUAACGCGUAGGUAACCUGCCUACUAGCGGGGGAUAACUAUUGGAAACGAUAGCUAAUACCGCAUAACAGCAUUUAACCCAUGUUAGAUGCUUGAAAGGAGCAAUUGCUUCACUAGUAGAUGGACCUGCGUUGUAUUAGCUAGUUGGUGAGGUAACGGCUCACCAAGGCGACGAUACAUAGCCGACCUGAGAGGGUGAUCGGCCACACUGGGACUGAGACACGGCCCAGACUCCUACGGGAGGCAGCAGUAGGGAAUCUUCGGCAAUGGGGGCAACCCUGACCGAGCAACGCCGCGUGAGUGAAGAAGGUUUUCGGAUCGUAAAGCUCUGUUGUAAGAGAAGAACGUGUGUGAGAGUGGAAAGUUCACACAGUGACGGUAACUUACCAGAAAGGGACGGCUAACUACGUGCCAGCAGCCGCGGUAAUACGUAGGUCCCGAGCGUUGUCCGGAUUUAUUGGGCGUAAAGCGAGCGCAGGCGGUUUAAUAAGUCUGAAGUUAAAGGCAGUGGCUUAACCAUUGUUCGCUUUGGAAACUGUUAGACUUGAGUGCAGAAGGGGAGAGUGGAAUUCCAUGUGUAGCGGUGAAAUGCGUAGAUAUAUGGAGGAACACCGGUGGCGAAAGCGGCUCUCUGGUCUGUAACUGACGCUGAGGCUCGAAAGCGUGGGGAGCAAACAGGAUUAGAUACCCUGGUAGUCCACGCCGUAAACGAUGAGUGCUAGGUGUUAGGCCCUUUCCGGGGCUUAGUGCCGCAGCUAACGCAUUAAGCACUCCGCCUGGGGAGUACGACCGCAAGGUUGAUA